rnacentral:rRNA from 1 species
GUGAGGAAUAUUGGUCAAUGGGCGAGAGCCUGAACCAGCCAAGUCGCGUGAAGGAAGACGGUUCAUAAGGAUUGUAAACUUCUUUUGCAGAGGAGUAACGAUAGGCACGUGUGCCUGUGUGAACGUACUCUGCGAAUAAGUAUCGGCUAACUCCGUGCCAGCAGCCGCGGUAAUACGGAGGAUACGAGCGUUAUCCGGAAUUAUUGGGUUUAAAGGGUGCGUAGGUGGCUAUUUAAGUCAGGGGUGAAAAGCAUGAGCUCAACUCAUGUCUUGCCUUUGAAACUGGACAGCUAGAGAAAAGACGAGGUAUGUGGAAUGUGUGGUGUAGCGGUGAAAUGCAUAGAUAUCACACAGAACUCCGAUUGCGCAGGCAGCGUACCAGACUUCUUCUGACACUGAAGCACGAAAGCGUGGGGAUCAAACAGGAUUAGAAACCCUUGUAGUCC